rnacentral:rRNA from 1 species
GCUGAGCACUCCUACGGGAGGCAGCAGUGGGGAAUAUUGCACAAUGGGCGCAAGCCUGAUGCAGCCAUGCCGCGUGUAUGAAGAAGGCCUUCGGGUUGUAAAGUACUUUCAGCAGUGAGGAAGGUGGGUAUGUUAAUAGCAUAUUCAUUUGACGUUAGCUGCAGAAGAAGCACCGGCUAACUCCGUGCCAGCAGCCGCGGUAAUACGGAGGGUGCGAGCGUUAAUCGGAAUUACUGGGCGUAAAAGCGCAUGCAGGUGGUUUGUUAAGUCAGAUGUGAAAGCCCGGGGCUCAACCUCGGAAUUGCAUUUGAAAACUGGCAAACUAGAGUACUGUAGAGGGGGUAGAAUUUCAGGUGUAGCGGUGAAAUGCGUAGAGAUCUGAAGGAAUACCGGUGGCGAAGGCGGCCCCCUGGACAGAUACUGACACUCAGAUGCGAAAGCGUGGGGAGCAAACAGGAUUAGAUACCCUGGUAG